rnacentral:rRNA from 1 species
UACGUAGGUGGCAAGCGUUGUCCGGAAUUAUUGGGCGUAAAGAGCCUGUAGGCGGUUUGUCGCGUCUGCUGUGAAAUUUCGGGGCUCAACCCCGAACUUGCAGUGGGUACGGGCAGACUAGAGUGUGGUAGGGGAGACUGGAAUUCCUGGUGUAGCGGUGAAAUGCGCAGAUAUCAGGAGGAACACCGAUGGCGAAGGCAGGUCUCUGGGCCAUAACUGACGCUGAGAAGCGAAAGCAUGGGGAGCGAACAGG